CAGUCGCCGCGGUAAUACAGAGGGUGCAAGCGUUAAUCGGAAUUACUGGGCGUAAAGCGCGCGUAGGUGGUUUGUUAAGUUGGAUGUGAAAGCCCCGGGCUCAACCUGGGAACUGCAUCCAAAACUGGCAAGAUAGAGUACGGUAGAGGGUGGUGGAAUUUCCUGUGUAGCGGUGAAAUGCGUAGAUAUAGGAAGGAACACCAGUGGCGAAGGCGACCACCUGGACUGAUACUGACACUGAGGUGCGAAAGCGUGGGGAGCAAACAGGAUUAGAUACCCCGGUAGUCCCUGUCUCUUAUAC
rnacentral:rRNA from 1 species